UGCACCGUUGUUGCUGCCUUCCCUCCUUUUGCUGCUGCAACAUUUGUUUUCUUGAUGGGAAGAGUAAUAUUUUGUGACAAAGGCAGAGCAGCAGAAAUUGCUCCCCUUUCUGACUGUCCUUCAAGGAAAAUCUUUCAGAUCUGACUCUCCGGGGUCUGAAAUCAAUGCAGGCAUUAAGCAACGUGGCUUUACUAUUUGGAUAAAAUAGCCUAGUUUUGAUUAGGUGGGGAAUCGGAGGAUAAAGGGAUUUCUUUUUCCCAGAAUCGGGCAUAGAAUAGCAAUGUAAAAAGCUGGAUCAAAUAGCUAAAGCCAAUAUCUUCCCCUUGAGUCUUUCUUUUGGUUCCUUUGUAGCACAUCAACUUAAAAGAGACUUAAGCUCCAGUUUCUGAAGGUUGCUGAGUGGGAGGGUGAGAAAUAAAAGACAAAGGGAGUUUCACAGCUGCAGCCUCUUAGGAAAUUGUGGUAACAACCUGUCAUCCUUGGAGUCCUGGCUGAUAACGCUUCUGCAUGUCCUUGUGCCUGUUGGUCUUUACCUAAAUUAUCUGCUAUUUAAUAUUUAAUGAUGCUGUGUGACGCUGGGUACAGUGUAGUCCCUUUAGCGUGUUGUCCCCUUCCUGGUACUCAGGAAUGCAGCAUGGACAGGAGGGAAAAUAUGCUUUUUGAUUACAUUUUGCUCCUAAUGUGUUAAUCCUCUCCAGGCUGCUGAGCUGCUUAGUCUGUUGGCUACAUUUGGGCAAUGCAGACAAGAAGCCGAUGUGUACGCUUUCGCAUGCCUGCAGACAUACCUGUCCUUAUUCUGUGUUCUUACAACUUGGUGUCAAAAGGACAGGACAGGUACAAAAACGCUUAUCUUAACAUCUCCUAUGUUAAAGAGCUAUUCCUACUGGAUUGGCAUAGGGAUACAUGCUGCCAUUUCCUCCAAAAAGGUGUUUUUCCUAUGAAAUACCUGCAAUUUCCUUCCUAGAUCAAAGCACAGCCAUUCACAACAAUAGCAGAUGGGGUGAGAUUCCUGCAGCCCCUUCCUCUGCAAGGUUGCACUGCUCAAACCCAGCUUUGCUGCUUUUAUUCCUUAUACCUCAUUUUAGAGGCUAGGCCAGGCCUAAAGGCUCUGGAUGGGUGACAGGGCAUGCGGACAGAGCCACUUGUGACCCAGGGGUGACAAACCUGACCCUGUGUAGGGGACUGGCAAACACCUCACCCUGCACCCACAGAGCUGCCCUCAGGCACCAGCUCUGACUCCAGCUUCAAUCCCCCUUCUUUCCUGGUCUGCAGUAACUUCUUUUAGCCCUUCAUGCCGCCUGCCUGGAUCUUAGUCUCAUUUACAAGACGCAAGCUGCCAGGCUACCUGAAAUAUAUUGAAAGAAACAGCACAGAUAUCCCCACAGAUGUGACAACAGAAGAAUAGGAAGAGGGAAGAAUUCCCUUGGAUAUUUUGUCAGAGAAAUGUACCACAACUCUAAGCAAGUGAUGGGAUGACCCUUGGUGAACAGAAGAUGAAGCAAUGGAUGAAGCUCUUUGUGAGAAGAUGUGGAUGUUGGCAUCUCUUUGGUGGAGAGUUUGCACUGAUCACAGAUGAAGAGAGCAAGACACUGGAGCAGGUAUGGGACUAGAGAUCAAGGCUCUCAUCUGUAAUGCUUUGGUCUCUGACACCCCACAGAGAUCCCUGAUGGCCAAUGACUGCCUUUUCCAAAGAGGAACGUGUCCUGGUAGCAAGACCUCCAGUUUGUGAUAAAAAUAACUAUUACUUCACAGGCCCACAGAAAAGCACCUGCCUGGACAGCAGGAGACCAGCAAAUCACAGGCAUGAAGUGGACAUGUCAACUUCUGUGCAGAACACUUACCAGUGAAUGUAGGCUGCCCCAUCUUCACAUCUCCAUGGAAAACCUUGGGAUUAUCUUGAUUUUUAUCCACACAGGGAAGGUGAAAUGGUCUAAAUGUUAAUGAUUCAUGGGAUGCAGGCUGCCUCUCAGUUUCAAUAAAUGCAUUAUCCCUUUGUAAAGAGCUGUUUUGAAUUCAUAGAACGUUUUUAAAGUUUCUUUCAAAGACUGUGUUUUUUCUUUCCUCUCAUGUAUCUCAGAAGAAACCAGCCUGCCAAACUGAGUCCAGGCAGCUCUUCUGAGAUAGAGACAUCCAUCUCUGUGUACGGUCUGUACUUGUGAAGCAGAGCACAAAGCCCUUUUCCCCAUUUAAUCCAUAUUAAUUACCUCUCUUGCAGCUCCUCUAUAGUUUCCACUCAACCCAGGCGCCAAAACGUGUGCGGCUGCAUCUUGAACAAACCAGAGCCUUUCACUGCACACCUGGCAAGUGAACACUCCGAAAGUACAAGUAAAUAAAAAGGUUUAGUGCUGAAGGAUUGAAGCUCUCUCCAUGCUUGAAAACCGAAUGCCGUGGGACUGUGGACUAAGGCAGAUAUUUUUAGUGCCAUCAAUAUCUCCUGGAGUUGAUAUCUCCCAAGACAGAUGGUUGUUUCCCACAGAACGUUGUCAAAUGUUUGCUCAGCCAAGAUCAAUUUUGUUCCAAGUCCUUUCCCACCUUCUGGUGGAAGAUAUUUCACUUGCCAGACAAAAAAUUAAAGAAACAGCAUGAAA